CUGACUGCAGACCUAACAUGGCUAACUACCUCUCUCUACACCAUAGGUGAUUACUUCAUUCUUUUUGUUAAUUAUUAAUGAAGGACUCUGCACAUUGGUUUUGGAAUGGAGCCUUAUCUUAUCAUAAAAUACAAUGUCACUGCAAGGCACAGGCAUGAAAAACCCAGCAAGCAAAAAUUACAUACAAAUACUUUUAAGAUCUUCCAGCCAAAUCAUAAAGAGAAGCUAACACUUUUGAGAGUUAACUGAAGCUGUGGAUGAAAAGUUGUUUGCCACAGAAAAAAAGAUUGUUUGCAUGAGAAAACCUAGGAACAUAUCUAAGACUUUUACAAGGUGAUCUUCAAAUAAAAAGGUCUGAGGAAAAAAUGCUCCAAUGGAUAGCCUGCAGAAAUUCAUUCUGGUCUCUUUCACUCUCUUUGUUUCACUAACAGGUCUUGGCUUCUGUUAUACUAUUGUCCGGGGUCCUGCUAAUGCAACAGUUCUAGCUGGUUCGGAGGCCCGGUUUAACUGCACCGUCUCACAGGAUUGGAAAAUCAUCAUUUGGCUUUCAAAUGGGAAACUUGUUCUUACUGUAGUUAAUCCUACAGGACCUGUUAUAACAGAUAAUCGUUUCACCUCUCAAAAUUAUACAGCUGGUAAUGAAUUUACCUCAGAGCUGAUUAUUCAUGUUGUCCGUCAGAGUGAUUCUGGGAAAAUAGAAUGCGGCAGUCAAGGUGGUAGUGAAAAUGGCUAUGCAUUUCUUACUGUUCAAGUUAAUGGAUCUUUGUUCAUCAAAGAUAGCAACUUGACAGUAAAAGUGAACAAAACAAUUGAAAUUUUUUGUGAAGCCUUAGGAUGGGCUCCGGCUCCAAACAUUACCUGGAAGAUAAAUAACUCUUUCGUAGAUAAAUCGAUGUAUAUUACUGAACACGGUCAAGAAUCUAAUGGCCUUCACAAUACAACCAGCAUCUUAACUUUGACUCCAUUAACCAAUGAGACUCUGACUUGUUUAGCUGAUAUACGAGCAUUGUCUAAGCCACAGAAUGCAACUGUAACUCUUAUUUUGGUUGAAUCUCCUCUAGAAAACACAGGAGACGGUACAAGCACAUGGAUUAUAAUAGUUGCAGUCGUAGUUUCAGUUGUCGGUUUUCUUCUUCUGAUCAUUAUUAUUGUGAUUAUUGUAUACUGCUGCCACCGCCAAAAAAAGAAAGAAUCCACCUAUCAAAAGGAGAUGAGAAAAGUUUCAGCUAAGAAAAAAGAUGAUGGCAGUCUGGAAACAAGGAGGAGGAAUGGUAGUGAAAAUAAUGGAUACAUUCCCGAAGAGUCAUGGCACCCAGAACAAAUGCCAAAGGUUGCCUCUCUUCCCCCAAUGGCCUCCAACUUCUAUGGCCCAGAAGAUUUAGAAGUCAGUUCUACAUCACAGGUCCCCCAAGAAGCACAGGACAACAGAGCUUCAUCUUCAGGAUAUGCUGGUUAUCCAGUCAACCCAAAGAAGAUCAGAAAUGUGACACAUGUUUAGGGAAUACUUCUGCUUGAUGUUUAUAUAUCAGCUAUCAUUUUUGCUUUUGGAAGACUGCUUAUGAAAAAGAAAGAUCACCAUUAUUUCACCUUUUUUUUUGGAAAAUAGGACCAUAGACUUAUUUUAUUUAUUUUUCACAUAAUGAAAACAACUACUGAGAAGAAAUAAUAGUUUUUGCUCUGGCACACAACAUUCAACCCAGUUCUGUACACAAAUAACUAUCUUUGAUCUUACAGCUGGAUCUACACAGAAAUCCAAAACAUUUAAGUUAAGAAGACAACAACUCCCUCCCCCUCGUCAAGAGGAAACAAAUGCCAGGGGAGAGCUCUGUGGAAAAAAGGCAAACACCCUGGUGUUUACCUUAGGAGCCAGGAGGAUUGCUGGAAGCAAGAGUGGUGGGCAACAGCACUUCCAGAGUAAAUGCUGGAUCUGGAUUGGCCAGAGAUGCACAGCACCAAGUACUUCUGGCCCCAGAGAGGGGCAGUCCAGGGAAGAACCCUGCAAUGGUAAGCCUGGAGCAAAGGGGAACUCCCUUACCCAUGUCUGCUGGGAAAACUGUAGGAGGCAGUCAUUGGGGAGAGGGUGUGCAGAGAUUGGAGGGACCCUGAAGAAGUUGGUGUGCUGGACAGCAUUGUGGGCAGAGAGAUCCAGUGGAAUAAGGAUUUAGCUUUCCAAGUAUGUGGAGAGAGGGGGGGGGGACCUGGGUGGCAGCAGGAAGCUUGGUCUUCUUAGAGGGACAGACUGACCUUUGAAUGAUGGCCUGAGGUGGCUGGGGAAGCAGAGGAAAGUUUUCUUUUUCUUGUGGAGAGUUUUUUUUUUCUUAAAUUUUUGUGACCCUCAGUAUAAGGACUGUGGAGUCGUGAGGAUGGGUGUAGGGAAUGGAGGAGCCCUGUUAACACCACCUAACUGGCUGGGUGGGUUGGAGCAGGGUUUGUUUUUUUUCUUUUUCAUAUCUUCCACUGAAUAUUAUAAGAAAAACAUCAAAGAUGUGGCAGGUUAGAAUAUAACAUCUGGGAGGGGCUGAGGGGUAAUUUUGUAUCCCUUUUGCCCAUUAAAGAAAAGAAAAAGCAUCAUCCUUCUUGGGGCCCAAGCCCUAAAGCACCUAUAGUUUACAUCCCCCAAAAAACACUUCUGAAAAUUGGUUUUUGAAUUUCUGACUCACAGGAAUUGUAUAGAUGCCUUCUGCCCAUGCUGAGGCCUUAUGGGUUUUAGCCCAAAUCAUAUUAUGCCUCAAAACAUUUGUCUCUAAACAUGAUCUUGUUCCUUCCUACACAAUAGGCAAAAUUCCAUUAAAGGGCCUAGUUUACUUAUGUACCUUUCAUGUGCUACCUUCUUAGCCUGAAAAUCUUUGUUCGUUUUCCUAGACUUGAUCUAUUGCACAUGCUCAAGUGCAAUCUAGUAUGGUCAUUUAGGUGUCUAACUUUGCUUACAUUGUGUUCUGACUUUAUUUAAUUUGGGAAAGAAUAUAAAUUCUAUGUAAAUCACCAAAUCCUUAAGUAGAAAAAGACCACAUGUAUCAAUUAAUUGAUGCUGAGAUUAGGCAUGAUCAUAGCAUGUAAGUCUUGCUUAGUAGUGUAAUGGAUAAGGCACCAGAAGGAAAUGGAUGACCUGAAUUCUGAUAUUAUUGUUUAUCCAUGGUAUUUAAGGACUAUGUGAUGUUAAAUACAUGAACAGUCCAGGGAGCAAGCAAGAGGAAACUUGAUUGUUCAGUCUAGUGGUCAGGGAAAUUGGGGAAUGGAGUCUCCUGUGUUCUUGUUCAUGUUGCUGGGAAUGUUUAUGGAUAGGGUAUAAUGGAUAACUAACACUGGGAGCAGGAGCCUUAACCACUACACUGCAGUCAUGCUUACUCUCUCUAGCUCCCUGACCCUUUCAAUUGUGGCUGCCAGUGGCCUAGCUACAACAGGGGAUGGAGGAGCCUCAAACUCCUAGGUGAUUUGUCAAGGAGUGGGAGGCCCCUUCUCCCCAGUGUCUGCCUGUCAAUUUGCUACUGAGGCAGGCACCUCCUCAGAGUAAAAGGAAUUCCAACAGGGUGCCUUCCCUCUUAGUGAGAUGCAGCAAGCCAAAUCUUAACUGAAGCACAUGAGGUUAUCUAUGUCUGCCUAUUGACAGAAGUGAGGAGAGGUAGUUACACAUCUCUCUGAGAUUAGAGGCACACUAGGCUGCCCAUGGAGAGUAUUGGAUCAGAUCUUCUGAGGAAGGUGCUUAAGUUCAAGUCAAGCAGCAAGCACAGUAGGCAGAGCCUUGGAGGCAAAAUAGGAUUUCAACCAGAGUUCUCCAGGCAAAGUGCUCCAACUUAGGUUGGAGAUUGCCAGGAUGCAUCAUGGUGGCUUAUCAAGCCACUUCACCAAAAUGAAUCAUAGGUAGGGGUCUACCCAACUCAAGAAGGUGACUGACUAAUUUCAUGAGCAGUUUACAGGGCUGGCUCCCACUUUCAUGGGCUUAUUCAGGUGGGGCCCACCUCCAUUUCUGAUUGUCCAAGGGGCCCUGGUGGCUCCACCCACUGCCACUGACUGGUGGAUGGGGAUGUCAGUCAUGUGGGUCCCACUCCUCACCACUGAUUGGUGAAGAGGGGUGGAGCUGCAUGACCGACAGCUCUCUUAGCCAAUCAGCAGUCAGGGGUGGGAGUGGCAGCCAUCUUGCCUGCUUGCCUUUGUGGCAGCAGUCCCUUUUGUGCUGGGCUAUGCAGCCAGGAGGACUGCUGGCUUCCACUGGGCAGCUAGUAUUUUGUUUUUAGUAAGUGUUUUCUUGUUUUUUUUUCUGUGGAUUUCACGGAGAUCGCCUGAUUUCAUGAUUUCCACGAAGUGUGUACAACUGUGAUUUGAGUAGGUGCCUACUCAUAGGCCCUUAGAGGAUAAUUCAGAAAUGAGAUACUUGAUAAACAACUCCUUUCACACGCUGCAGUGGCAUUUCUCAGUAGGAUUUGAUGGUUUUCAGCCAGACUGAUAAUUUUCAUUUUCAGAAUUUUUUUUUCACUUUAUGACUUUUUGCUAAAAUUAAGUAUUUUCCACAGAAAGACUUUUCCAACUACAUGUUCUUUCUUCUAUGUAUUGAUAACUUUAUGAAUUUUCCUUUAUUCUGUAUACAUCUUUUGUAUGUGCCGGAUGAUGUGUCCUUAGUGAGAAGUGAUGGCACUAGAAUUAUUUCUACAAUUAUAUUCUAUGCAGCAAAGAGAUGGAAUCCAGAUCUUGAAUUUUUGGGGGAAAUUGCUUUGCAGGGUAAGCAUUUUGAAUUUUAUUAAAGUGUGACAGAUUCUGCAUUAUUAGUAGAAUUUUAUUGCCUGUCUGUUAGAACUAAUGCUGAGGCCAAUUCAUAUUGACAUGCCUAAUUAUCUACAAAAGUGUUUCAGAUCCUGGAAAUCUCUCUGCAACCUCCAUCAGUCUUUUCUACUGGAGGGAGUAGGGGAGAAGGAGGAGUUCAAACUGUUAUUUACUACAGUGAUGCCAGAAACAUGGUUUGUAAGUAACAAUGUCUUUAUAACGAGAAUAUAAAUAAUUUGUACCUAAUUGUCUAUUCAUCCUUCUUUGUAGUAACAAGGGACUGGAAGAAAAAUCAAUAGCAUAGUGGUAUUAGUAUUAUUGUUGAUAUACCUUAGCACAAAGGGAGCCUAAAUGACUUAAAAACCUAAAAAUAAGCCAUCUAGCUCAAUAGAGGGAACCAGGAUUCAGCAGUCACAACUGUAUUCAAACAGGUCCAUGCUACAUUAUGUUAGAGUAUUUCUUGUAAAUCUUGUAUAGAAGUUUAAAUGAAACAUUUCAGAAUAGUUUUAUUUUAAUGGAAAAUGUCAAGAUUUCAAAUUUUUGUUCCCAAUUUGGACAGAUUUCAAAACCUCAGAAUUUUCUUAAGUAUUGAAAUGACCUAUUUUAGUCAGUUCUAGUAACACUUUUUAAAAUGCUUUUCAUUCAUUUAGUCCUUGUUAUGAACUAUGUUACUGCUUAGGGAAUGGCUGACUGAAUACAUCUCAUCAAAGAGUAUAAGGGCUUUGAAAUUGUAUUUUUACUUUUUUUCCCACUAAUCUAUACCCUUUUGCAUAAAUGAAAAUAAAACACUGCCAUGCACAAGGCUGGUGAUGGGAGAUCUGUUGUUCUAAUACAAGAAAUUAGAAUGAGACACUUUCACAAAUUAUAUGGUACCUUUCACCAAAGGAAGUUCAAAAUCUGACUUGACAAAUAGGUUAGUCAUGUCUAGUUUCUUUUGGGCAUACUAGAACAUGUCGUAGGAACCCAUUUAUGGCAAUGUGAUUUUCUGGAUGUCCCUUGUCAUGCAUAGAAGUUAAAUAAGCAUUAAGUUUUGCUCUAAAUUGCCUUAUGGACUUCUAGAAACCCUAACUAUGCAGGGAAUUGCCAAAACAUUUAAUGCUCCACCAUUCCCUUUUGUCAUGGAUGACUGAUACUAAGGAAUAUUUCCAGUGAUUUCACCAAGAUUGAGAUAAACCCCUAAAAAUAUGAUUACCCCAAAAGUCAGAUUCUGCAUUUUUCUUCUAAUUCUAUAAUAGAUGAUAUGACAUAGCAAUAUGAAUUUUGUCUAUAUCAUGUGAUGUUCACAUGGUGCUGUAUAUGUCACUGUCUCCAUAAAGCACACCUUUUGCCGAAAUGUAUACUGCAACCAUGAAAUGUUUGGGCUAAUAAUAGUCUGGCUCUGUUUUUUUGCUGCCAGGUACUCUAGUACAUUCCAUUGAGCUGGGAUAUGUUCAUAAGUGGAAGCAGUGUAUUCAUUGCUGCUUACAGUAUCCUUUAAAAGUAUUAAUUGACAAAAGGAAUACUGUCAAUGAUAUCUGCAGAUUUUCAUACCAAAUUCAUUUUCUUUAGAUAUUUCGUAUAACUUGUGUGUUGUUUUUUAUUUUACUUUUUAGGUUGUUUUAUAAGCUGUUUACUAGAGACAAUAACAGUUAGGAUAGAAACCAGCUAUAAAGUUGUUACACAUUUUCAAGAACUAACUUUAUAGCUGGUUGGCUCUUUUUAUAGCUGGAUAGUCAUUUUAUUAUUAUGUGAUAAUUAUUUUGCACUGGUUUAAAUUUAUUGCAUGAUUAACCAGUUAAUUAUAGGAUAAUUACUUUGCACUUUGGCUGGUCUUACUUUGCACAUGUGGCUGAUCUAAAUUUAUUGUGUGAUUAAUUAGUGUCAUAAAUGUAACAUACAUUAGAGGCCUGAGUAUUAUCAGAGCCCUUUCAUACAAGGAUAUGCAUCGCUCAAAAAGCAUAAAAUAUGUAAGUAUUUCCAGGACAUGCAAUAGUGUAAACAUGCAGGAUUUCAGAGAUUUUAUGGAGAUACUAAUCUCCUAUACACAUAGUUCUCCUACACACUGAUUUUAUGAUUCAGGCUUGAGGAACAUCUUAAUAUGGUUACAUCUCAUUUUUGAUGUUUGUAAAUAUGACCACUGCCUGAUACUGUUAAAUUAUUCUGUGUGCCAUUACAAAGGGUUUUUAUUUCAAUGAAUUACACCCAGAAAUAAGUGCUUCAUGAACAUAGAAUACUUGUUUCCAGAGUAAGGUUUCUUAAAGUUGUCUUCUUCAGUUUUGUCUUUCACAGGGUAGUCAUACUGUCUAGGGACAGACAUUACACCUAAACUGGGUUAAGUGAUCAGAAACUGAUUUAAAACUGUAACAGAUGUUCAGUUCACAUCAACCAGUUUGAAAAUGGCUGAAAAUGGAUUGAGAUAAACCGGGUUGAAUGUAGUAUCAGACUUAAUUGAUUUGGGUCAAACCAUUUUAUACAACAUCUGUCCCAGGCUCCUUGCUGGUUUAAGAUAAAUCAGACACCCCCAGCAUCCCUGCUCUCUGGGCUGGGUGGGGCUUUCUGCUCCGCAGCAGGGCUGGCACCUCCCCUCUAUUCCCUGGCUGUAGCUCUGGCAUAGACUUGCAGGCAUAGAACAUCUGCCUGGUUUCUCCCUGCUACACAAGUAUUAUUCCCCCCACCCCUCUGUCUUAUGCAGAGACCUCAGCCUUAGCUAGCAUAUCACAUGCUGGCUACCGUCUGUGCUGUGGGGGAUGACAAAGGUAGGCAGGCUUUUUGGAGAUAAUCAACAGGUAGCUUAAGGUCAUUCCUUGGAAAACUAUUGCUUUCUUAAUGGGGUGAUAAUCUUUCCCUGCUGUUCUGCUCAGGAAGGGGGACAUAAUAAGAGCAUCCUGCUGGGGCUUGGCUGUGGCACCCUCAGCAAAGCUUUGUGGAAGGGAAGGGAGAGCUGCUUUAGCACCCUUCGGCUUCUAGCCUGAGCCACUGCAGGCACAUGCUGGCAUUUUCUCAGUCAGGAGGGGAUGUCUGUGUGGUUAGAAAGUGGUUCAUCCUAGCCAGGUUAGACUAACCUUCAGAGAUAGAAACAAUUCAGGCUCAGGCUUUUUGAAUUUCUGUCCCUAGCCCUUGUGCAGACUUCAUGUGCAGGUUUCCUUUAACAAUAAAAAACAAUUCAAAUUUGAGUCGGCUGAGUAGAAUCAACAGAUGCAAACCUUCAUUCUUGCAAUUAAAAGGAAUUCACAGUAUUGACUCCAUGUUUACUUUCAGUAUCUAAUGAUACUUGGUCUCAUACAUUUAUGAAGUAGUAUAUAGAGUUUUUGGUGCUGCCAGUGAUCAAAUGUUUAGUUCGUCUUCAACUACUUGGCAAUCAGUAUGUCUACAGUGACUGGUGCAAAAUGCUCUUGGGGAGGGAUGCUUCCACAGAUGCCAUGCCCAUCUACUUGUGCUUGCAUGCACCAAACUUGGAAAUGUGGUGGUGAAGCUGCACUGGGGGCAUCUCACAUAGAUGAUAACUCUGAAGAACCCUAAAGAGGGAAGUAUUGAGAGUAACUUCACUACUGAGUUUCUGGAUUUGGUGCAUGCAGGCAUCAGUGAUUGAGCAGGGCAUGCUCAGCAGCUGAAGCAGAGUAAACAUUCCAUAUAUGUAUUCUGCCUACUAUUACUCAUGUGAAUCCCUGCUGCUGUAACUCAAAACCCUCUUGGUGAUCAGCAAUCCCCUUCUUGGCUCAACUCAACUCUUGCAGGCAACUUUGAGACAUACUGCCUUCAGACAAACAACUGUAUAACAUUGGUACCAAAGCCAUGGUAUGUCUGUAAGUAUCCUGAUACUGAGAGUUGUACAAGGCUCAGCAAUGCUGCCUUCUCUGGUGUCAACAGGUUACAUAGCAACCCAUUCAAUUAUGAGAUGCAAAGAAAAUCAAUCUUCAAUGGCAUCUGACUACAAUUUUUUAUGAAGCAGAUGCUGCCUCUGGGAGGGCAGUAGGCUAGUCAAUUUUCAUUUGAGACUUCAAUACCUACCCUCUAUAAUUUGACCACUGCUUGUAAGUCUCUAUAAGUACAGUUAGGUAACUAUGUCCAGAAGAAAAAGAGAAUACUGUCCUUGUCAUAGCAGGUGCUUCUCUAAUAUGUUAUCUGUGGGUAUUCCAUGAGCAACCCUUCUGUUAAACUAUAUCAAAAUGCAUAUACAUUUGGAUCUUGGUUAGUUAGGGAGCUGAGGGAGAGUUAGUUUAUCCUGCCUUCUUUUGGCCCUCACAGAAGGGAAAGGCAGAAGGAAACCUACUGAGAGUUGGAGUGGACUGCAGAGGGAGCUGUUGAUCACUGUUUGAUUUCUAGUUUCUAAUACUUGGGAUUGCAAGAACAUCUAUCAGUAGAAUACCUAUAAAGAGUAUGCCUUGAAAAACAUCUGUUAUUGCAAGGCCAGUAACCUUUCCUAUAAGUAGCAUUCCAUUGGUUAAAAGUCUUUCAAAAAAUACUUCAGUUCAGUAGCGUAACUGGGAUGGCAGACCAGGGCAGCUGCCCCAGGCACUGACUUAGGUGGUGGGCAGAGAAAUAUCAGCUUCCACUGCAGCCACAGUCAUGCUGCUGACGUAGCAGCAGACAGAAGUUGCAGCUGUCCCCAUGAGUCCUGCUGUCCUGGGCUCCCAGCUGCUUUGUUAUACAUUGUGGAAAUAAGUUUAACCAGGCCUCUUACUUGACUAAGAAGAGAGAGAAAGAGAAGAGAAAAAGAUGCUGAUGCUGGUGUUUCAAAAUGUUCUAAGAUAAGGAAAAACCUUCAUGCCGUGUUUUGUCUGAUUGCAGAUGGUAACCUCCUCCUUUCCAGGAACCAAAAACCCCCAAAACUGAUAGCUGUUCCCAAAACAAUGUGUUUGCCAAAAAAGUAAACUGCUUACGUGUGACAAACAAAUGAUCAACUUCUUCCUGUUUCUUUCAAGGUUGCUUUGUCUGAACCCUGCAUCUUUUCUCUCUGUCUAAAGUAUAAAUACACUUGUAAACUUGUAGAGGUCAGAGUUCCUUUGAGAACCCUCCUUGUGAUCACUUGUAUAGCGUUAAAUAAACCAAGAUGGCUCUGCCAAUUCCGAUAC